UACCAGCACCCCGAGCGGUCGGGACGAUUAUUGGGCCUAAAGCGUCCGUAGCCGGUUCUGCAAGUCUUCCGUUAAAUCCACCUGCUCAACAGAUGGGCUGCGGAGGAUACUACAGGGCUAGGAGGCGGGAGAGGCAAGCGGUACUCAGUGGGUAGGGGUAAAAUCCUCUGAUCCACUGAAGACCACCAGUGGCGAAGGCGGCUUGCCAGAACGCGCUCGACGGUGAGGGAUGAAAGCUGGGGGAGCAAACCGG
rnacentral:rRNA from 1 species